GAAAACAUCCAUUUAGUUUAAUCAAAAUCUAGGCUCACUGAAUACUUUACCUCUGCUUUCUGUUUCUAUGUGGCCAAUGGGCCACACAUCUUUCAUAUACUGUAAAUGUCACUAAAAUAUUGGCAAUGUUUUUUUUUUAAAAAAGCUUCUGGCAACGGUCCUAAGGAUGAGUGUGAGGAAGAGUAGGCAGUCAGACAAGAUUAUAUAGUUGCUCCACUCAUCCCUGAAGCCUCUGCUGCAUCACUUGAGUGGUGAGCCAGCAGGUGAAUCCUCAGGUGUGUUGUUGUUGUUGUAAAGUAAGUCGGCUGCAUAUUACAAAGUCGACAAACAGCCUUACUGUGUUGGUAGUUUUGACAUCUAUGCUGUAGAAAUUCAACACUCUUACUGUGACGCUUUGCUCGCUAGUGUCUCAUGUUAUUUAUUUGCUUAGUUUACAGAUAGGUCAAUAGGACAUGCAACGGAGAGCGCCCUCUACCAAGGAAAACUAGUUCAGUCUGAUGCACUUACAGACUGUAAAUUGAAUAUUUAGCUUCAGCCAGUAGCUGGUUAGCUUAGCAUAAAGACUAGAGAAAGGGGUGGGGGGGUUAGCAAAAUCCACCUACCAGCACCUCUAAAGCUUAAUGACUAAUAUGUUAUAUCUUGUUUGUUUAAUCAGUGAAAACGUUGUGGUUUUGUUGGAUAAUUUCUUGACUAGGCAAAGUAACCAGCUCCUCCCUGUGAUGAAAGGACUCCAGUAAAUCACUGAGCACAGCCAAGAAAUAGUCCCGUCACCCACAGUCCUGUCAUUUUUACCACUUUGGUUUUUGUACAAAUUAAACAAAUGAGAUGACGUGUGAUUUUAGUGAGCUUUACAGGUGCUGGAGGACAGAGCCAGGCUAGCUGUAUUCCUCCUGGCCAUAGUUUCAUAUUUGCUGCACAAACAUGAGAGUGGUAUUGAUCUUCCCAUCUAAAAGGUGUAAAUGUGCUUUCUGCAGUAACACGAUUUCUUUGAUGUAGAAAAGAAACCAAAUUUUAGCUCCUAGAUUUGUACAGGACAGUGUAGCUCUUUGCCACUUAUACACAUAGCCAGGUUUUUAAUCUGCAUGAGUGAAGAUAAAGAGAGUAUCACAUUGGUAGCAAAACAGUGGAAUGAAAAGAAACUGUAGCUAUACAUCAACAGGGAGGUACAAAGAGGGAAUUUGUCAGAAAAAGGCUGUAACUUUGAACAAUACCCACUUGAUUUGUGUAACUCACAUAAGCUUUAGAUAAUGUUUUAAAUAUAUUUUUGCACCAAACGACUGUGGAUUUUGUCCCCCACUUACAUGAAAAUCAAUUUAGGAAAGCACUCUUAAUGACCAGUGUGAACAAAGAAUCAUUACAGUAAUUACAACCUAUUUCAAUAUAAAUGUGGGCACUUGAGUAUUGUUUUAAGACCGACUUCAGAAAUUGUGAACCUAUCUGAAUAACAUUGUGUCUUGUGUGCAUGUUCACAGUGGGCGAUACUGCUCCAUCUCAAAACUGUUUCUGACACACUACCUUUUUAACAGGAGAAGGUAGAAAAUCUUCCUUCAGAUACAUUCCACAUUUUCUUCAAGAACUAAUCUGAAGUAAACCACUGGCCACUUGGAACAUCGGACCGUGGUUGGAGGAAGCACGUUCUUUGAGGCCAGUGAUGGUUUCUGAGUAGCGACAUCCAGUUGGACCAAUAAGACCAGAGUUUGAGAGUUGUGGCUGAAGACCAGAGGGGACCGGGCCUUUGCAGUAAGAGUCCCUUAACUCUGGAAUGACCUGCUGGAGGAGAUCAGGCAAGCUGCAUUCGCUUUUUGUAAUUUCAUCUGCUGGAUUGCCUCUUAUUUUAAUCUUAUUUCUUUGUAUUGAAUUGCACUAUUAUGUUCUUGCUAUAUAAAUACCUGUUCUUCUUUAAUUAAUAGCUGUUUGCUGUUAAUGGGAACUCAAAAAUUCCUCCAUGUUUAACUUUUGUCUCUAUACAUUCAGCACCACAAGCACAACAAUGAUUCAGUUGUUCCAAGUCGCAACCCCAUUCUUUUUGGCAUCUUCUUGAAUGAUGUCUUCCCCAAAAGUUCACAUUAGACACAUGGAGGGAUGUCUCAAUUCUUUAACCGCUAUUUCAACCUCUAGACUCCACACCCUGUUUCCUGACAGGCUGUUGACUCUUGUGACCAGAAUGCUAAGACUACUAAUGGAGGAUCAUCAGUAACUCAGAGCAAAGGCAACACAAUUGAUUUUUCUACAAGUUCAUCAGAUGAAUAACACUCGUGCAUCAAACACAAUUAAGAAGUUAGUCUCAGGAUUUGUUUUACGUACCCUGGGAAUUAAAUAAUAGCCUUUUGCACCAAAAUCAAUUUUAUCAUCUUAACAUCCUGGAUUUAUUAACAAGCAAUUUUAAAUAAGUCUCAAUCUUAUCAAGCUCAAAGAGUACAGGAAAUUAUAUCUAAAAAAGGAUAACUAGGCCUUGGCAAUCCUUAUACAGCCAUUGAACCUGUUAUUAGACACACCCAUGUUGUGCACAAGACUGAAAAAUGAUGUUCCCUAAAGUAUAAAGGUUACUGUUGAUUACAGUCAUAACCCUGAUAGAAAUGUAUAUGUUUUGGCAUAAAGAGGGAACAUAAGGCCUGUAGUUGUACCUUUUGUGUAGAUUGGAGCCACAAAGUCUGAACCAGUUGUGUGUACACAGCUUGUUGCAGUGAUGCGGGGACCUUCAAAUGCUUUGCACGGAUAGAAUCAUUACAGCUUUUAAAAAAUGAAUAAUUUGUCGAGGUUGUGUGAAGACCGAGUCAGGUACAGACCAAAAAACACCUAAAAUGGUGUACUACGGCAAAGGCAUCCCACCCAUGGGAUGCUUUCAUUUAAAUCAGAAGGUUAAUUGGCUGUAAGGUUCCAGAAAAUAACCUCUGCAAGCUUCAUAUGAAAAUUAAUAAAACUUUUCAUGACUUCAUACCAUAAAUUGUCUGAAAAAAAAUCUGAAGGAGCUGUUGGGUUUCAUUCAUGGUAUCUUAUUUAGGUGAAGAAAUUAAUAUCUGAUGUGCUGUACUGAUGAAUUAGUGCUGUGGAAAUUGAAAUUAUACUGAGUUUAUCAACAGGAGAAUUGGGGGACAUUAGAAAUGAAGGCAUGUCUCUAAUAUUAGCUUCUCCCAAAUACAGGCCUGGUUCUGUCUGCCACUGAGGUAAAUAAAGCCCUUACCACUAUUUGAGAAUUUAUGGUAUUUCAAAAGUUAUUGAUAAAAAGCUGUUGCCAGUAAACCAUGCUUGCUCCCAAAAUUUAUGCUCAUAGCCCCGUCUGCGUCUUUUUGCCGCCACAGAGGAGUAAAUUUCACCAGGCAAAAUUCUGUCCAAAUGUGUUCUGUUAUUUCCUCACUGAACACUAAUGAUUAUAGAUCGAAUAUUUUUUUUUUUCCCUACAUUUGAAUGGUAGUUAGAGUCUAAAAUAACCCAAAGUGAUACAUGCGGUGAGUCUGUUAAGUUGCUCUGCCGUACAUCAGGUCAUACAUCUCAAUAGUAGAAAAAAAAAAGGCUAUCACCACAUCUCAAUAACCUUUCCCUCUUCCUGAUGCUUCUUUUGAGAUCCCCAGUUUCCUGCACUGGGUUCAAGCCUGCGUCGGUCUUGCUGUGAUGGCUGAGAUCCAGAGGAGCAGCAGAAGGAGAGCCUUGAUGACAGCUAAUCCAGGAGCUGCUAAGCACCAUCCAGUUCCUUUAAUGAGUAAAGAGAAACCUGCUGGAUGACUAUGAAAGAGAAAGCCAAAGAAGCCUUUUGGGCCUGCAGAUCAAAAGUAUUCCAACUGUAUCAUGGAAACUGUUAUGUUAUGAGUCACAUCAGCUUAUUGAAGAAGCGAAGGCGAAAAAAAUAAAAAUCCUUAAGGAUGAAUCCUUACAGCCCACCCAACAGUGGAGGAGACAAUAAAAGCUUGAAAUUAGCAGAGGAGAUUAUUGUCAGGGCCAAGACAGAUGCCAGGGAAGAGAGAGCAAACAUGGGUCUUCCAAAAAAUAAAUGUGAGUAGGAUUGCUUAUAUAUUCAUCCCUUUUUUCACCCUCUUUCUUGCAUUUUUCUCCUGAGUAUAUCUUUAUCCUGUGACUGCAGCCAUGUCUUCCACUCUCCCUAAUUUGUAGGUUGGAACUGCAGUAAAUUUGCCCGUGGAUUUAGUUUUUAUCGCAAUGUUCCUUCUUCCAUACUCAAUCCCCUUUUUCAUUCUUUCUCCUAAAUUACAACAAACUGAUUAUCAGUAUCCAACACACUUAGAGGCACCUCCACAUCUGCUGCUUACAGCUGUGAGACGAUAGAGAAUAAUUGGGAAGUUUAAUUCUUCACCGCUCCUUAUUAGGCCUGUCGUCUCUCUGUUGAGGUGAAGAAACAAUUCCCCUUUUGAGCCAGGGCAAAAUUAAAAUGCUUGAGGCCCUUUUAAUUUACUAUAUGCUGUUCUCCUAGACUGUUCAUUUUCUUCUGAAUGCUACCAUAACCCCUCUUAACAAGGCAGAUACAGUAUACCAUGAUGGUAAUGAACCAAAGCAUUUCACCGCCAUGUACUAUAAUGAAAAAAUACUGAGAAACACCAAAUAGGAAUUACUUAUAAUGAAAUUUUUAGCAAAGCUAGCUGCACGGUCAGACCAAAGGAUCUCAACAGCCACUAAACUUGGUACAGACAUUCACAGUUUCUGGAUGAUGACUCCUAUGUUAGUAUGCUGACAUAAGCAUUUAGCUCAAAGCAGUGUCACAGACUCAAGUGUUGUUGGAUGAUAGUAAGCAAGAUGAUAACAUCAUCAUGUAAUGUCACAAAUAUUUUCUACUCAACCAGACUGUCUCCAGAACGAAAAAGAAAGACCUCUUACCUAACACCCACCCCAGCAAACCCUGGGUAAAAAGAGCCUCUCCCAUUGUAAAACAGAUUAUAUGGAUCUUUUGAUUUGACAUGGUACAUUUAGAACAGAAACAGCAGGACCAGUCACCCACUGCCCUACUCCUACAUGACAGUGAGUAGUAUUGUUGACCAUCUCAAGACAAAGAGUCUCUGCACACUCUAAAUGCCCCUUCUCAACAUCCCUGACAUCU